GCAACUCGACUGCACGAAGCUGGAAUCGCUAGUAAUCGCGGAUCAGAAUGCCGCGGUGAAUACGUUCCCGGGUCUUGUACACACCGCCCGUCACACCAUGGGAGUCAGUAACGCCCGAAGUCAGUGACCUAACCGAAAGGGAGGAGCUGCCGAAGGCGGGACGGAUGACUGGGGUGAAGUCGUAACAAGGUACC
rnacentral:rRNA from 1 species